GACGAACGCUGGCGGCGUGCUUAACACAUGCAAGUCGAACGGAAAGGCCCUGCUUGCAGGGUACUAGAGUGGCGAACGGGUGAGUAACACGUGGGUGCUCUGCCCUGCACUUCGGGAUAAGCCUGGGAAACUGGGUCUAAUACCGGAUAGGAGCCAUUUUUAGUGUGAUGGUUGGAAAGUUUUUUCGGUGUAGGAUGAGCUCGCGGCCUAUCAGCUUGUUGGUGGGGUAAUGGCCUACCAAGGCGGCGACGGGUAGCCGGCCUGAGGGGGUGGACGGCCGCAUUGGGACUGAGAGACGGCCCAGACGCCGACGGGAGGCAGCAGGGGGGAAGAUUGCACAAUGGGCGCAAGCCUGAUGCAGCGACGCCGCGUGGUGGAUGACGGCCUUCUGGUUGUAAACACCUUUCGCUAGGGACGAAGCUUUUUGUGACGGUACCUAGAUAAGAAGCACCGGCUAACUACGUG
rnacentral:rRNA from 1 species